rnacentral:rRNA from 1 species
UAGCUAGUUGGUGAGGUAACGGCCCACCAAGGCGACGAUUGGUAGCCGGACUGAGAGGUUGAACGGCCACAUUGGGACUGAGACACGGCCCAGACUCCUACGGGAGGCAGCAGUGGGGGAUAUUGCACAAUGGGGGAAACCCUGAUGCAGCGACGCCGCGUGGAGGAAGAAGGUUUUCGGAUUGUAAACUCCUGUCGUUAGGGACGAUAAUGACGGUACCUAACAAGAAAGCACCGGCUAACUACGUGCCAGCAGCCGCGGUAAAACGUAGGGCGCAAGCGUUGUCCGGAAUUACUGGGUGUAAAGGGAGCGCAGGCGGACCGGCAAGUUGGAAGUGAAAACUAUGGGCUCAACCCAUAAAUUGCUUUCAAAACUGCUGGCCUUGAGUAGUGCAGAGGUAGGUGGAAUUCCCGGUGUAGCGGUGGAUUGCGUAGAUAUCGGGAGGAACACCAGUGGCGAAGGCGACCUACUGGGCACCAACUGACGCUGAGGCUCGAAAGCAUGGGUAGCAAACAGGAUUAGAUACCCUGGUAGUCCAUGCCGUAAACGAUGAUUACUAGGUGUUGGAGGAUUGACCCCUUCAGUGCCGCAGUUAACACAAUAAGUAAUCCACCUGGGGAGUACGACCGCAAGGUUGAAACUCAAAGGAAUUGACGGGGGCCCGCACAAGCAGUGGAGUAUGUGGUUUAAUUCGAAGCAACGCGAAGAACCUUACCAGGUCUUGACAUCCGAUGCAUAGUGCAGAGAUGCAUGAAGUCCUUCGGGACAUCGAGACAGGUGGUGCAUGGUUGUCGUCAGCUCGUGUCGUGAGAUGUUGGGUUAAGUCCCGCAACGAGCGCAACCCUUAUUGCCAGUUACUACGAAAGAGGACUCUGGCGAGACUGCCGUUGACAAAACGGAGGAAGGUGGGGAUGACGUCAAAUCAUCAUGCCCUUAUGACCUGGGCUACACACGUACUACAAUGGCGUUUAACAAAGAGAAGCAAGACCGCGAGGUGGAGCAAAACUCAAAAACAACGUCUCAGUUCAGAUUGCAGGCUGCAACUCGCCUGCAUGAAGUCGGAAUUGCUAGUAAUCGCGGAUCAGCAUGCCGCGGUGAAUACGUUCCCGGGCCUUGUACACACCGCCCGUCACACCAUGAGAGUCGGGGGGACCCGAAGUCGGUAGUCUAACCGCAAGGAGGACGCCGCCGAAGGUAAAACUGGUGAUUGGGGUGAAGUCGUAACAAGGUAGCCGUA